ACCUCCGUAGCCCAACGGUAGAGGCGCUGUGUUCAGAACGCAGUUAUGUGUCGGUUCAAAUCCGACUGGAGGUA
rnacentral:tRNA from 1 species